rnacentral:lncRNA from 1 species
GCCUGCUUGCUCAUGUAGACAUCCUUCUUCUUCUUCUCAUGAUGAAAUCCAAGCAUAUAUAAGAUCUGCUGUGAUCAUGAGAUCAAUAAAUGAGUAGACGUGAAAGAUGGCAUGUAAACUGUAAAGGUUAACUAAACUUCAUGAUUCCAGUUGAUUCCUCCUCAUCAAAUGUCACCAAUGCAUCCUUCUUCUUCCUCUCAUGAUGAAAUCCAAGCAUAUAUAAGAUCUGCUGUGAUCAUGAGAUCAAUAAAUGAGUUGACGUGAAAGAUGGCAUGUAAACCGUAAAGGUUAACUAAACUUCAUGAUUCCAGUUGAUUCCUCCUCAUCAAAUGUCACCAAUGCAUCAAUUGCACUGGUUUUUAUAAAGGAAUGAAAGCUAUGCAUAAGACAGUGCAAAAUUUAUGAUAUACAGUUACAGAAAAUGGACACAUUUAUACAAAUACACGGAGAGAAAGCAGGGCUUAUCUCAAACAGCAGUUGGUCAAUGAUACUGGAAUUUGUUAAGUAAAUACAGAAUAAUGACCACUUAUCAACUAUUUUAUGGCACUACACAAAUAUUACCCCAGGCCAGGGAAAAAUAAUCAAAUUUAAACAUCUUUAACAUAGCUGGUCUUAUCAUGAUUUGCAACAUACAGCUGAAAAUAUUAACUGUUCUGGCCAACAUGACUUCUGAGUUUGUGUCAUCUAUUGAGUAUGUAUCAUCGAACAAAAUUUAUUCACUAUAUAACGGGGAAAGAAACUUUAUUUGUAUUUUGUAAAAUUACAUUUGGAUCUUUUUAAAAAAACUUCCAAAUCAUGAUUGCUUUAAGUGUUACAUGCAAAAGUAAAGGACUCCCACCUGCCUACAAUGGAUAAUACACUAAACUGUUUAUCAAGAAUGCUAUCGCGAGAUAGAAGAUUAUUCCACCGACAGCUACGCUCUGACUGCCACUCCAUGUGUAUGCUGCGCUCACCUGGAGUUCUGGAAAAUUAAUCUUAUGAUCUACAAAUAUCCUAAAGACAGAAUGUGCCAUGAAACAUAUGCCUUUAAGGUAAUGUUUUACUCAUAGCAUAUUCCUGAGUUACUAAAUUGCAGCAAUCAGGAAAAGGUCAGUGAAAUACCAAUUCAUUGCAUAUGGAUUAGGUGGUGAAACUAGUCACGACUUUGUUGCUCCAAGGAGUACUCUCUCCACUCCCAUAUCAUCAACUACCUAGAUGGCGUUUUUCGUUUUUACUUCUACAUGAUUCUGAACUUACCUCUUUUCCUUGAACUAGAAAAAUUAUGUAAAACAGAAGUUGAAUGUAAUAUAAUAAUAUAUAAUACUCGAGAUCAUUUUACUCUUUCUGAUCAGAUAUAUAGACUGCUUAAAAACUAGUCACAGAUGAAACCACACCGAAAUCGUGGGACAACUGAAAAAAAACUACAUAUCAUGUACCUUAAUUGAGUUCCAAAGCAAUCUUGGGGUAGAUUGAAGCAGAAACAAGAUAUGUUAUAAACAAAUAAAUUUACUUUUAUCGUAAUAUACUUUAUAUGAGAUCUCAUUAGAAAGUGGAAGACAGCAACCCAAUAUAAAAAUGAAAACAGCAAACAACAACAACAAGACUGUAAGUCCCAACAUAAAAAUGAAAACAGAACAAACAAAAAAGACAAUGACAAAACAUAAUGUUCCAGUUACCUAAUUUCCUCUGCAAACGAUGCAAAAUGCUACUUCCAUUUUUGUUAAGUUGCUGUUCAUAAAAGAGGUCCUUGUAAUAUUAAGCCAAAUCAACUGUAAGAAAACUAUUACCAUCCAUCUCAUCCUGCAAAGAGCUACCUUCACACAGAUGCAAAUCAAGAAGCUAGAGUAUAAUCUAGCAAUAAAUGUGUGAAUGAUGAUACCUGUAUCUAUAUUCCAUCUUGCCUAAUGGCAAUGUUCAUGUCAUUGUUCUAUUUAAGAAUAUUAACAAAGACAUGUUGUAAAAAGAAAAGGAUGCAGAACUUCUACUCCACAAAUCUUGUUGGACAUGAAGUGUACCCUCAGAGUGUUUCAUUUUUCUGGCAUAUAUAAGGCACCAAUACAAGAACAUAGGUACUAGCACUAUUUUUCCUUAUUGCCAACCCUUGAUCGUACAAUACUAGUCAUGACAACAGAUGUAAAACUAAGCAGUUACAGAGAUACAAUAUGGCCUCUACCAUUACGAUCCAAGUAAAAUGAAAGCCCAAUAGCAAGUGAACAAAAAAAUCUGUAACAACAUAGAGAAAAGAAUAUAUAUAUAUAUAUAUAUAUGAUGAACACAGUGACACUCCAAAUCACUUAAACUCCAAUUAAAAGAUCAGAAUUGCUGAUACAUAUCCAAAUAUUCAUAUCUAUGCAAAUUUGACCGCCUUCUAGCAUCCCAUUUGUGACAAAAAGCCCUGUCACUCCAAUGCCAACUUACAAUCAACUUGAAAAUUUUCAAUCCUGACGUAAUCGGAAGUAUAUUUAGGCCAACCAACCCAUUGAUCGGGUUGGGAGGGACAAGGUUGGGCCUGACCAAAGUCGCAACCCUGUUUUCCAUUGAGGUGGUAAUACGAACAUACAAGUAAAACUGCAUGCUCACUUGGCAUGUUAUCCAACAAAAAACAUUCUGGAGAAGAUAACCAAAUGAAUUCAUCAAACAUCAAAAUGUAAAUAGGAGACCUCCAUCUCCAUACAGGGGUCAAGAAGACACGUACCAAUCUAGUCAAUCUUUACUAGCGAGCUCCAAAAUCUUCUAGACAAGGUCAUGCACCCUCUUCAGUUUCUUACACCUUUGUUAACACCAGGUUCUUAAAAGCUUCAUCAGUUGCCUUGUUUCUUGCAGAAUCUUACUUAUCCAGCACCUAAGACAAAACAUAAAAUUACCAAUGGCUAGAGGUCUAAGAUAUGACAACACAAUGAAUGAGCCACAUUUGAAUACAAGGUUUGGGGAGGGUCACUAUAUACAACAGAGGCAAUUUCAUGACUCGCAAACACUGAUCAUCCAGGUCAAGAAUGAGCAACCUUAUGUGACACCACUACUCCCUCAAAAAUGGUUUAAUGUUCAAAACAGCCAAUCAAUUGAACAUGAAAAUACUUAUUCAAAACUGAAACCCAAUAAACCCAACCAAAAACAAUUAAACAUUUCUAGUCAUAAAAGUGUGCAUAGUACAAAACAUACAGUAUUUGACAUGGAACCUCUAUUUUGCAACUCCAACAUGAUAUAGAAAAUUUGCAGCUAUUCACUGAUGACAAUAGGAAUGGGAUCUUAAUUAGGGAACGAUGCUAAAUUUAAAUGGCAGAAAUGAGAAUGUUUAGAAUACCUGAUCAGUGCUUAGUAACAAACAGAUGCAUUUUAAAAAGAGAUGAGAAUGUCAUGGAACCUAAAGGCUAAUGGACACAUAGAAAGGUAGACCUUAAUGGUUGCUUCAAUCACCUCCUACUACCAAGGAGAAACCUCCAUAUUACUAAUAGGGAAAGGAUCUGAAACUAAGGGAGAAUUAUCACAUAUAAUAAUAUCAGUUAUCCUUUUCGCAACACAAAAAGAGGAGGCACAAGGCAUCACAACCUAGCUAUAUGACUUGAUAGACCUAGAACAAUGUGACUGAAAAUGCUUAAACCAAAAUUAGCAGCAGCUUCAUCUACCCGUAUAAUUUUCUUUUCAACAGAUAAAGCUAGAUUAGAUAUCUACCCGUAUAAUUCAACUUAACAGAUUCUCCUAUCACAUUUGAUGCGGACUAAACUUGAGAGUCAACUAUUACUCUAGAUUUUACCCAUGAAAAAGUCAGAUAUAAUAAGGGCUUGCCAUCAAAAAUUAAAAAAAAAUUAUAAGUCUAAUGCAAAGAUCUAAACUCAAAAGAAACAACAAUAGUUUAUCUCAAAACUCUAUAUUACACUAAUUGAAUAUGCAAAUUAAACAUACCUUGAGACAGCUCGAGCCUCCAAGGAAG